GACGAACGCUGGCGGCGUGCUUAACACAUGCCAGUCGAACGGAAAGGCCCUGCUUUUGUGGGGUGCUCGAGUGGCGAACGGGUGAGUAACACGUGAGUAACCUGCCCUUGACUUUGGGAUAACUUCAGGAAACUGGGGCUAAUACCGGAUAGGAGCUCCUGCUGCAUGGUGGGGGUUGGAAAGUUUCGGCGGUUGGGGAUGGACUCGCGGCUUAUCAGCUUGUUGGUGGGGUAGUGGCUUACCAAGGCUUUGACGGGUAGCCGGCCUGAGAGGGUGACCGGCCACAUUGGGACUGAGAUACGGCCCAGACGCCUACGGGAGGCAGCAGUGGGGAAUAUUGCACAAUGGGCGGAAGCCUGAUGCAGUAACGCCGCGUGCGGGAUGACGGCCUUCGGGUUGUAAACCGCUUUCGCCUGUGACGAAGCGUGAGUGACGGUAAUGGGUAAAGAAGCACCGGCUAACUACGUG
rnacentral:rRNA from 1 species